rnacentral:rRNA from 1 species
CUGGGGGAUAGCCUUUCGAAAGGAAGAUUAAUACCCCAUAAUAUAUUUGAUGGCAUCAUUAGAUAUUGAAAACUCCGGUGGAUAGAGAUGGGCACGCGCAAGAUUAGAUAGUUGGUGAGGUAACGGCUCACCAAGUCAGUGAUCUUUAGGGGGCCUGAGAGGGUGAUCCCCCACACUGGUACUGAGACACGGACCAGACUCCUACGGGAGGCAGCAGUAAGGAAUAUUGGUCAAUGGAGGCAACUCUGAACCAGCCAUGCCGCGUGCAGGAAGACAGCCCUCUGGGUCGUAAACUGCUUUUAUUCGGGAAUAAACCUACUUACGUGUAAGUAGCUGAAUGUACCGAAGGAAUAAGGAUCGGCUAACUCCGUGCCAGCAGCCGCGGUAAUACGGAGGAUCCAAGCGUUAUCCGGAUUUAUUGGGUUUAAAGGGUGCGUAGGCGGCUUUUUAAGUCAGGGGUGAAAGACGGUAGCUCAACUAUCGCAGUGCCCUUGAUACUGAAGAGCUUGAAUGAACUAGAGGUAGGCGGAAUGUGACAAGUAGCGGUGAAAUGCAUAGAUAUGUCACAGAACACCGAUUGCGAAGGCAGCUUACUAUGGUCUUAUUGACGCUGAGGCACGAAAGCGUGGGGAUCAAACAGGAUUAGAUACCCUGGUAGUCCACGCCCUAAACGAUGAACACUCGCUGUUGGCGAUACACAG